GCCAACAUCAGAGAAGGACACAAAGAAGAGCCUCCCUCGACGUGAAGAGCCGCAUCAGGAGUCAGCCAUGGAUGAACAGCAGGAGUACCAGACGAACGUAUCACGAUGCAGGGACGGAGCACCAGAAAUCCAAAAAUAGCAGGAGUGCAUCUGGAGCAGUCCGCAGCGCCGCAUCAUACAGGAGUCGUCGCGUUGGGAGGCAGCAGCGAAGCCACUGCAAGUAAUAUGCAGACACCUCAACAAAUAUUGGCGAGAGUUCGCAGUGUUAACGGCAGGCGGCAGAAAUCGCGCUGGAUAU